rnacentral:misc_RNA from 1 species
GUGAGUCAUCGAAUCUUUGAACGCACAUUGCGCCCUUUGGCAUUCCGAAGGGCAUGCCCGUUCGAGCGUCAUAAGACCAACUCAAGCUCAGCUUGGUAUUGGGUGUCGGGGGAGUUUCCUCCCCCGCACCUCGAUGUCGCCGGCUGGACGUUCCGUAUCUCAGCGUUGUGGUGUCAAAACCCGCUGACGAGGCCGGACGUCGCACGCCGUCAAAACGCUGGCUCCCAUCACAAGGGGGGCCUGUCAAGGUUGACCUCGGAUCGGGUAGGGAUACCCGCUGAACUUAAGCAUAUCAAUAAGCGGAGGA